rnacentral:rRNA from 1 species
CAUGCGAGUCAUUGUAGCAAUACAAGGCAUACGGCUCAGUAACGCGUAGUCAACCUACCCUAUGGACGGAAAUAACCUCGGGAAACUGAGAAUAAUAUCCGAUAGAACAUUAUGCCUGGAAUGGUUUAUGUUCCAAAUGAUUUAUCGCCGUAGGAUGGGACUGCGGCCUAUCAGUUUGUUGGUGAGGUAAUGGCCCACCAAGACUAUUACAGGUACGGGCUCUGAGAGGAGUAGCCCGGAGAUGGGUACUGAGACACGGACCCAGGCCCUAUGGGGCGCAGCAGGCGAGAAAACUUUGCAAUGUGCGAAAGCACGACAAGGUUAAUCCGAGUGAUUUCUGCUAAAGAAAUCUUUUGUUAGUCCUAGAAACACUAACGAAUAAGGGGUGGGCAAGUUCUGGUGUCAGCCGCCGCGGUAAAACCAGCACCUCAAGUGGUCAGGAUGAUUAUUGGGCCUAAAGCAUCCGUAGCCGGCUCUGUAAGUCCUCGGUUAAAUCUGUACGCUUAACGUACAGGCUGCCGGGAAUACUGCAUAGCUAGGGAGUGGGAGAGGUAGACGGUACUCGGUAGGAAGGGGUAAAAUCCUUUGAUCUAUUGAUGACCACCUGUGGCGAAGGCGGUCUACCAGAACACGUCCGACGGUGAGGGAUGAAAGCUGGGGGAGCAAACCGGAUUAGAUACCCGGGUAGUCCCAGCUGUAAACUAUGCAAACUCAGUGAUGCAUUGGCUUGUGGCCAAUGCAGUGCUGCAGGGAAGCCGUUAAGUUUGCCGCCUGGGAAGUACGUACGCAAGUAUGAAACUUAAAGGAAUUGGCGGGGGAGCACCACAAGGGGUGAAGCCUGCGGUUCAAUUGGACUCAACGCCGGGAA